ACAUAGGGUGCAAGCGUUGUCCGGAAUUAUUGGGCGUAAAGAGCUCGUAGGUCGUUUGUCGCGUCGAUUGUGAAAAUCUGAGGCUCAUCCUCAGACCUGCAGUCGAUACGGGCAAACUAGAGUAUGGUAGGGGAGUCUGGAAUUCCUGGUGUAGCGGUGGAAUGCGCAGAUAUCAGGAGGAACACCAAUGGCGAAGGCAGGACUCUGGGCCAUUACUGACACUGAGGAGCGAAAGCGUGGGGAGCGAACAGGAUUAGAUACCCUGGUAGUCCACGCCGUAAACGGUGGGCACUAGUUGUGGGAACCUUCCACGGUUUCUGCGACGCAGCUAACGCAUUAAGUGCCCCGCCUGGGGAGUACGAUCGCAAGAUUA
rnacentral:rRNA from 1 species